UUAUGCCUGAACGCCUCUAAGGUCGUAUCCGUGCUGGACUGCAAUGAUAAAUAAGGGGCAAUUUGCAUUGUAUGGCUUCUAAACCAUUAAAAGUUUUUAAUUUGUUUUAUUAACGACAAUGGAUGUGAUGCCAAUGUUAUUUAUAACAUAGUAAAUUGGGAGGAUCUUCGAUCACCUGAUGCCGCGCUAGUUAUAUUUUAAAACAUUAUUUAAUACAAUGUCAAAGCCUAGAAUCAAUUGUAAACGACUUUUGUAACAGGCAAGGUGUUGUAAGUGGUUGAGCAGCUGCCAUACUGCGAUCCACUGAAGCUUAUCCUUUGCUUGAUGAUUCGA
rnacentral:ncRNA from 1 species